UACGAAGGGGGCUAGCGUUGCUCGGAAUCACUGGGCGUAAAGCGCACGUAGGCGGGUCUUUAAGUCGGGGGUGAAAUCCUGGAGCUCAACUCCAGAACUGCCUUCGAUACUGAGGAUCUCGAGUCCGGGAGAGGUAAGUGGAACUGCGAGUGUAGAGGUGAAAUUCGUAGAUAUUCGCAAGAACACCAGUGGCGAAGGCGGCUCACUGGCCCGGUACUCGACGCUGAGGUGCGAAGGUCAGGGGAGCAAAGCG
rnacentral:rRNA from 1 species